rnacentral:misc_RNA from 1 species
CCGAGCGUCCCGGCCCCCUAGGGCUGCGGCCUCACCAUCCUUUGCUUAAACUCUCCUUGCGGGGCCCCUCCAGAGGGCCCUUGGACUCGGCCGCUGGGGCAGACCCCCUCCGGGAAACAGGGGGCGCCCCGCUCUCCGCUCCGGCAGCCGGGCCCGAACCCAAACCUUGAAACGUGUCUUUUCGGCCCAGCCGAACCAAACA